rnacentral:sRNA from 1 species
AACAUCCGUGCCAUGAGGAACAAAAAGGACGCACCUGUGGACCAUCUGGGGACUGAGCACUGCUAUGACUCCAGUGCCCCCCCAAAGGUACGCAGGUACCAGGUGCUGCUGUCACUGAUGCUCUCCAGCCAAACCAAAGACCAGGUGACGGCGGGUGCCAUGCAGCGACUGCGGGCGCGGGGCCUGACGGUGGACAGCAUCCUGCAGACAGAUGAUGCCACGCUGGGCAAGCUUAUCUACCCCGUUGGUUUCUGGAGGAGCAAGGUGAAAUACAUCAAGCAGACCAGCGCCAUCCUGCAGCAGCGCUACGGUGGGGACAUCCCAGCCUCCGUGGCCGAGCUGGUGGCGCUGCCGGGUGUUGGGCCCAAGAUGGCACACCUGGCUAUGGCUGUGGCCUGGGGCACUGUGUCGGGCAUUGGUGAGUGGCGCACACGUGCAGGAGGGCGGGGCUGGCUCCAGCUCACUGGCUGCUCUUGGGAUUCCCCACAUCCUUGUGACCUGUGGCUCCACUU